rnacentral:rRNA from 1 species
GUGGGGAAUAUUGGACAAUGGGCGAAAGCCUGAUCCAGCAAUGCCGCGUGAGUGAUGAAGGCCUUAGGGUUGUAAAGCUCUUUUACCAGGGAUGAUAAUGACAGUACCUGGAGAAUAAGCUCCGGCUAACUCCGUGCCAGCAGCCGCGGUAAUACGGAGGGAGCUAGCGUUGUUCGGAAUUACUGGGCGUAAAGCGCGCGUAGGCGGCUCAGCAAGUCAGGGGUGAAAUCCCGGGGCUCAACCCCGGAACUGCAUUUGAAACUGCUAGGCUAGAAUCCUGGAGAGGCGAGUGGAAUUCCGAGUGUAGAGGUGAAAUUCGUAGAUAUUCGGAAGAACACCAGUGGCGAAGGCGACUCGCUGGACAGGUAUUGACGCUGAGGUGCGAAAGCGUGGGGAGCAAACAGGAUUAGAUACCCUAGUAGUCC